UGGGGAAUAUUGGACAAUGGGCGGAAGCCUGAUCCAGCAACGCCGCGUGAGGGAUGACGGCCUUCGGGUUGUAAACCUCUUUCAGCACAGACGCAGCGAAAGGGACGGUAUGUGCAGAAGAAGCACCGGCCAACUACGUGCCAGCAGCCGCGGUAAUACGUAGGGUGCGAGCGUUGUCCGGAAUUAUUGGGCGUAAAGGGCUCGUAGGCGGUUUGUCGCGUCGGGAGUGAAAACACACAGCUGAACUGUGUACUGGCUUCCGAUACGGGCAGACUAGAAGUAUGCAGGGGAGAACGGAAUUCCUUGUGUAGCGGUGAAAUGCGCAGAUAUCAGGAGGAACGCCGGUGGCGAAGGCGGUUCUCUGGGCAUUACCUGACGCUGAGGAGCGAAAGUGUGGGGAGCGAACAGG
rnacentral:rRNA from 1 species